UUCUGCCAAUAGAUGGAAACUUCAUUAUUUGCACUCUGGGAAAAUUCACAUGUACAAAUGUUUUAAAAAUCACUCGAUCUUUUACACACUUAGAGAAAAAACUGCCUUCCUUUAAAAACGCUUUUUCUUUCAUUUCAUUACAAGAAGAACUUUUGAUACCGUUGCCAUCGGGAAAUUUUUAGUAGUAAAUCUGUAUGCAGACAUUCGUUGCACAGUAUGUGUGGCCGAUAAAAUCAAUGAAUGAAUAAUAAUUUGUUUGCUUGUGUGCUUUUGGUUUGCAUGUUCCACAUUUUAUCUAAAGUCUGUCACGCAGUCCACUGAUUGACUUAUCGGACGGUGCGGUCAGAAGGUCAUGACCCUUGAAAAACACUGGAACUACAUUAGAGGAAGUUGUGCAGCUAAACUUAACAUUUUUACUGCUUUAUUAAUUCAUAAAUUUCACAUCAGGACAUAUGUGGCUCCUUUAGAUGCUUUUUUCCCUCCCCUUUGGCUACCAUAGCGAUCCUUCGUUAUUAAAAUCUGAGUAAUCAGAUCUUUCAUCUCUUGUGAAGUUCAUUUGUCAUGUGUCACAUUGGUAUGAAAUUCAUGCCCUGACUGCUUCCGCUUUAUUCCCGUGUCUUCCUGAACAUGCCCGGCUGAAGCUGCUGCUGCUGCUUUUGCCCUCUGGGCACAAGAAUACAUGAAAUUCCUCGUGACAUUGGGAAAAAUCAGACACGGUGCAGCUUCAUUAUCUAAAGCAUCACAUGGUUCACGGUUGGGUCAAUCAGAAGAACUGACAUCAUGGAAAAUGUCAGAGUUGACAUGAGAAAGACUUUUCAUGAAAACGUUUUCUAAAGUUUGAACUCUUUAAGUUCAUGUUUCUCCUACGUUAGGACAUUAGGGGAAAUUAGGGGCCUAAAAGGAGUGGAAAGACCCAAACUUAAUUUUAUUGCUGGUUAUCUGAGGAUGAUAAUGGUGUCAUUCUUAAAGCAGGAAAUAAGCACUGUUGCAUCAGCAUGCUAAUGUGAGGGCUGGUUGUUCCUUUAUUGGAUUUGUGUAGGACGUUUCUUAAUGACUGGAUGUGGAGAUGAAAGAAGAAUAAACAGGAAGAAAUUCCACGAAUGUUGCCGGGAACAGUAUCAGCGUGACCAUAUGAAUCAUAUCCCUCUUCCAACUAUUUCUACUGUGUCAUAGAACAAUUUCACGCAAAUGUACUCAUUAGCAGAGGAAGUCAGCAAAACAAAGCACAAUGUGGACAAAGCCAGUGGUUUGUCAAGUUAGAUUAUGACCUGGCGUCCUCUAGGUGACCCCAAAUCGGUAGAUUGGCUUUAAAGAUUCUCGGAUGUUUGCUGCAUUAUCCACGUAGUUCAAUUAACAUUCACAAUAAAAAUAGGUUAAUAAAACAUUUCCUGAAGCAUGAAAGUAUCCUUGUUUGAUCCCAGCCAUCAUGUGAAGCUCACAGGAAGUAAUAGAUUUGAUUUUUAGUAUGCGGGUUUCAGUUUAUGCGUGUUAAAGCAGCUUUUGCAGGUAUUCUGCUGGUCUGGAGAAGUGGCACCUUGACUCGAGCAUUAAUCCUUCCAAACAAAAUCGUCAUCAUGCAGACUUAAAGUAUUUUAGGCAGAUAGAGAAGAGAUGGAGACCCGAAUCAGGUGAUAAAGAAUAGGAAGGGAAGCUGUGCGUAAACCUUCUGUUUAUGAGUUCUAGUCCUGAACUUUGAAACAAAAUUCAGACACCUUGAUAGGUCUGAUUUAUCCCUAAAGUAUGGAGUGCGCACAGCUUAUUAACCCCUACGCCAGUGUGUUGUGGGCUUUGUGACAACUAUACAUUAUUACUGAAAGAUGGCAGGAGUUUUAGUCACAUGAAGGAGCACAUGGGCAUCUGGAUAAAAGGAGAAGUGAAACGUUUCCUGGCUUCACCACCCACCUCACACAAACUCUGUAAUUCUCUAAAACACAGUAGUUCUGUCUCAGCUGUCAACACUGCCAUAAGACGGCUUCUUCGUAACGAUGAGACACGUGACAGCGGCACUGUGUGACGCUCCUGGAUGAGAAUGCAUUUUUUCGGUAUUCGCAGUUGCAGCUUGGCACAUGAAAGAUGGCCCAUCACCUAAAGAAAAGCGGAAAAAAGAAGCGCUCUCUCAGCCCGCUGGCUUUCCUCUGCAGCAGCUGUCGGUCAGCGUCAGUUGGUGUAUCUCGGAAACACAGAUCGCUAAUGAGGCUGGAGCUCUCGAGGACUGCCUGGCCCUGAACUCAGCAUCACACGGUGCUAAGUGACGAGGAUCCCCUGCUGCACCCAGGGAGGGUUAUGCAUCUAAAACGUGAAUAUUAUAUACGUCACGUCGAAUCAGGAGACGGGUGCUCUCAUCUGCAGCUUGAGCUGUCUGGCUUUGAGAUCUCGCUGUGCUCGGGGUGGUCCUGCAAACUCAGGAAAGUCCAGGUACGAUUUGAUUAAUGUGGGUUUUGGCUCGUCUGGACAGAAACAUCAGCAAGGACACUGUGGACGUAAAAUGCUUCUGCUGCUGCUGCUGUGAUGGUGGUGUUGCAGACCCCCCAUGCAGGCCAGAUCUUUCUGCAGCUUCUGCACCGACACAUGAUCUGACUAGGAAGGAUGCAAAGGUGGAAGCAGACCGUGCUGGAUUUAGUUUCACAGCAUCUUACUGGAGCAAACGCACACAACAUACUGCAAGGUUUUCAGUAGUAUCUACUUCCCCCUUUUUUUUUCUUUUUUUUGUUUGAGAGGACACGGAUACACCCUGACUGGGCCCCUGUAGUGCUCUACAUUGUGGUUGGGAAGUACCUAGUUUUACAACUGUCAUGCUGGCCUGCUUAAAGGGACAGUGCUGAUCAAUUCGAAGCACAUAUUCAGGGGUCUUUUAGUCACCCUAACAAGGGGGUCACAUGGAUGUUUGAGUCGUCAUUCCUCAUGUGAGGAAUGUGCAGUCCGAAGAGCCGCUUUCUGCAUCAAGCACUGCAUAAAAAUACUGAUUGAUAUUUGUUAAAAGAAUGUCUUUAAUAAAAAGUUGAAUUGAA